rnacentral:rRNA from 1 species
CACGCCGUAAACGUUGGGCGCUAGGUGUGGGACUCUUUUCACGAGUUCUGUGCCGCAGCUAACGCAUUAAGCGCCCCGCCUGGGGAGUACGGCCGCAAGGCUAAAACUCAAAGGAAUUGACGGGGGCCCGCACAAGCGGCGGAGCAUGUGGAUUAAUUCGAUGCAACGCGAAGAACCUUACCAAGGCUUGACAUAUACCGGAAACAUCCAGAGAUGGGUGCCCCGCAAGGUCGGUAUACAGGUGG